rnacentral:tRNA from 1 species
UGUGGCAGAUUAGUGCAGUAAACUUAAGAUUUUCUCAAAAAGUUAACCUUUCUUUAGAA